CCUAACCGCAAGGAGGGGGAUGCCGAAGGCAGGGCUAGUGACUGGGGUGAAGUCGUAACAAGGUAGCCGUACCGGAAGGUGUGGCUGGAUCACCUCCUUUAAAGGAGACCAACUGAAGAAAAAAUUCAGAGAAUCCUUGGUCGAACCGAAGGGCAAGAGAAAACUUUCAAACUGAAACAGGUUCAUCAGCCCAUAGGGAAUAACUAGAUGGGACUAAAAUAGUCAAAGUUAAACAUCUCACAAUAGAGCAGUUUAACGAAGCACCUUGAAAACUACAGAGAACAAGAGGAAAAAAAAGGUCAAGUUAGAAAGAGCUAACGGCG
rnacentral:misc_RNA from 1 species